UGCCAGCGGGUCAUGCCGGGAACUUUAGGGAGACUGCCGGUGAUAAACCGGAGGAAGGUGGGGACGACGUCAAGUCAUCAUGGCCCUUACGAGUAGGGCUACACACGUGCUACAAUGGUCAGUACAGAGGGUUGCGAAGCCGCGAGGUGGAGCUAAUCCCAUAAAGCUGGUCGUAGUCCGGAUUGGAGUCUGCAACUCGACUCC
rnacentral:rRNA from 1 species